UACGUAGAGUGCGAGCGUUGUCCGGAAUUAUUGGGCGUAAAGAGCUCGUAGGCGGCUCAGUAAGUCAGGUGUGAAAACUCCAGGCUCAACCUGGAGACGCCACCCGAUACUGCUGUGACUAGAGUCCGGUAGGGGAGCGUGGAAUUCCUGGUGUAGCGGUGAAAUGCGCAGAUAUCAGGAGGAACACCAGCGGCGAAGGCGGCGCUCUGGGCCGGAACUGACGCUGAGGAGCGAAAGCGUGGGUAGCAAACAGG
rnacentral:rRNA from 1 species